UUGAACUCUAAAAAAUAAUGUGUAUUUUUGAAUAAAUUAAUACUAGGUUAUGCAAUACGGAACUAAAAUCUAAGUCGUUUGGAGUCAUAAAUAGACAAUAUAAGUUAACAAAUAGACACAAGUUACAUCAUGCAGUGUGAUUGGUGUUAAAUAUUGUUUCUUGCAAAGCGGACCAACAACCUAUUAAAGAGGAUCUUUUGCAUGGGGCCAAAGCAGCAGGUAAUUGUGAGAAAUCUUGACAGACAUAUAGGACCAGCUGUGAAGAUAUAAAGGCUGAUGAUAUAUACAUAUUACAGAAUCUAUGACAAUGCUCAUGACGAAAAAUCCAUAUGAAGUGUCUCGUUGGUGCAGUAAUAAGUGCUUCUGAUUGCUGGGCUGAUGGUUGUGAAUUCAAUUCUCACAUCUAACAAACAGUCCUAUAAUUGACAGAAUUGAUUGCCCUUUGUCCGGUUGUUUAAUAUCUAUAUACAUAUGCAUAUUUUUAAAUCGAUACAAGUAUAUAUCAGUCUCUGUCCCCCUA